rnacentral:rRNA from 1 species
AGAGUUUGAUCCUGGCUCAGAACGAACGCUGGCGGCAGGCCUAACACAUGCAAGUCGAGCGCGCCCUUCGGGGUGAGCGGCGGACGGGUUAGUAACGCGUGGGAAUAUACCCGACACUAAGGAAUAGCCUCUGGAAACGGAGAGUAAUACCUUAUACGCCCUUCGGGGGAAAGAUUUAUCGGUGACGGAUUAGCCCGCGUUAGAUUAGAUAGUUGGUGGGGUAAUGGCCUACCAAGUCUACGAUCUAUAGCUGGUUUUAGAGGAUGAUCAGCAACACUGGGACUGAGACACGGCCCAGACUCCUACGGGAGGCAGCAGUGGGGAAUCUUGGACAAUGGGCGCAAGCCUGAUCCAGCCAUGCCGCGUGAGUGAUGAAGGCCUUAGGGUCGUAAAGCUCUUUCGCCAGAGAUGAUAAUGACAGUAUCUGGUAAAGAAACCCCGGCUAACUCCGUGCCAGCAGCCGCGGUAAUACGGAGGGGGUUAGCGUUGUUCGGAAUUACUGGGCGUAAAGCGCGCGUAGGCGGAUUAGUCAGUUAGAGGUGAAAUCCCGGGGCUCAACCCCGGAACUGCCUUUAAUACUGCUAGUCUUGAGUUCGAGAGAGGUGAGUGGAAUUCCGAGUGUAGAGGUGAAAUUCGUAGAUAUUCGGAGGAACACCAGUGGCGAAGGCGGCUCACUGGCUCGAUACUGACGCUGAGGUGCGAAAGUGUGGGGAGCAAACAGGAUUAGAUACCCUGGUAGUCCACACCGUAAACGAUGAAUGCCAGUCGUCGGGUAGCAUGCUAUUCGGUGACACACCUAACGGAUUAAGCAUUCCGCCUGGGGAGUACGGUCGCAAGAUUAAAACUCAAAGGAAUUGACGGGGGCCCGCACAAGCGGUGGAGCAUGUGGGUUUAAUUCGAAGCAACGCGCAGAACCUUACCAACCCUUGACAUCCUGUGGUUCAUCCCCAGAAGGGAGGGUUCCCUUCCGGGGAACCAAUGACAAGGUGUUUCAUGGGUGUCCUCCACCCCGCGUCCCGGGAAAAUUCCGGUUAAAUUCCCGCCACCCAAGGGCCACCCACCAUCCCUUUUUUUA